UACUGGAUUGUCUUUCUUUCAAUUUUUGCAGCAACUCCUGAUCUCCAGUUGCCUCCCUGACCUUCCUUUUGGACUCUGAGCUGCAGAGCCAUGCCUGGUGAGAGACAGAGCGUGUGUGACAGGACACACACACUCUUUUUGGGCAUCACCAGAACAAGCUCUCAAACUUGAUCUUGUGGGGAAAAUCUUUGCAGAAGGGAGAAGACUUCCCUGUGAAUUCAGGGAGAGGAUUGCUUUUGGGAUGACCGAAAGUUCAGAUUCAAUGCCACGUACAAGAUACAGUGAGGUUCACAAAAAAAGAAUGUAUUAUUUGAGGAGAAAACACUUCACUGAACCUGAUGUUUCCCUGUCAGAGGUGGAGCUUUCCAAGAAGUUGCUGUUUUUUCCGUAGACGAAAUCCCAGAAAUUUAAGGCUGUGCAAGUCAUUUUCAUAGAGCCUCAUUAUUUGCUCUGUCCCUUGAAACCCUGUCUCCUCAAUUCAUGUGAAUAUGUACAGAAGGGCAAUCUCAUUCAG
rnacentral:lncRNA from 1 species